GACGAACGCUGGCGGCGUGCUUAACACAUGCAAGUCGAACGGUGAAGGGAUCAGCUUGCUGGUUCUGGAUGAGUGGCGAACGGGUGAGUAACACGUGAGUAACCUGCCCCCUUCUUCUGGAUAACCGCAUGAAAGUGUGGCUAAUACGGGAUAUUCUGCGCCUGCUGCAUGGUGGGUGUGGGAAAGAUAUUGUUUCGGUGGGGGAUGGGCUCGCGGCCUAUCAGCUUGUUGGUGGGGUGAUGGCCUACCAAGGCGGUGACGGGUAGCCGGCCUGAGAGGGGGGACGGUCACACUGGGACUAAGACACGGCCCAGACUCCUACGGGAGGCAGCAGUGGGGAAUAUUGCACAAUGGGCGCAAGCCUGAUGCAGCGACGCCGCGUGAGGGAUGGAGGCCUUCGGGUUGUGAACCUCUUUCGCCAGUGAAGCAGGCCUGUCCCUUGUGGGUGGGUUGACGGUAGCUGGAUAAGAAGCGCCGGCUAACUACGUG
rnacentral:rRNA from 1 species